rnacentral:rRNA from 1 species
UACAGAGGGGGCAAGCGUUGUUCGGAAUUACUGGGCGUAAAGGGCGCGUAGGCGGCCUGUUAAGUCGAACGUGAAAUCCCCGGGCUCAACCCGGGAACUGCGUCCGAUACUGGCAGGCUUGAAUCCGGGAGAGGGAUGUGGAAUUCCAGGUGUAGCGGUGAAAUGCGCAGAUAUCGGGAAGAACACCCGUGGCGAAGGCGGCUCUCUGGAACGCAACUGACGCUGAGACGCGAAAGCGUGGGGAGCAAACAGG